rnacentral:rRNA from 1 species
CCUUUGACGUUAGCGGCGGACGGGUGAGUAACACGUGGGUAACCUACCUAUAAGACUGGGAUAACUUCGGGAAACCGGAGCUAAUACCGGAUAAUAUUUCGAACCGCAUGGUUCGAUAGUGAAAGGUGGUUUUGCUAUCACUUAUAGAUGGACCCGCGCCGUAUUAGCUAGUUGGUAAGGUAACGGCUUACCAAGGCGACGAUACGUAGCCGACCUGAGAGGGUGAUCGGCCGCACUGGAACUGAGACACGGUCCAGACUCCUACGGGAGGCAGCAGCC